UACGAGGGGUGCGAGCGUUGCUCGGAAUUAUUGGGCGUAAAGGGUAGGUAGGUGGUCUGAUUUGUCUGGGGUGAAAGCCUUGAGCUUAACUCAAGAAGUGCCCCAGAAACGGUCAGACUCGAGUCCUGGAGAGGGUCGUGGAAUUCCCGGUGUAGCGGUGAAAUGCGUAGAGAUCGGGAGGAACACCAGUGGCGAAGGCGGCGACCUGGACAGGUACUGACACUCAACUACGAAAGCGUGGGGAGCAAACAGG
rnacentral:rRNA from 1 species